CUGCUAAGACCAGUAUCAGCAUGC
rnacentral:siRNA from 1 species